GGCCACAAGAAACUGCGAAUAAUUGGGGUGGAAGUAGUAGUCGUAGUGGUAGUGGUGCUAUGUCAGUACCUGUUCAGUACCUGGAUGGGAAACUGCCUGGGAACACCGGGUGUUGUUGGCU
rnacentral:rRNA from 1 species